rnacentral:lncRNA from 1 species
AGAAUCUGAACAUCACGAUUCAGGCAAUAGCUGAGGCCAUCCGACUCCUUGCUGAGAAGGAGAAACCUUCGGAAGAACAACCUCAAAAGGAAAAACCUGUGAGCAAUAAGGAAGCAAGGGCUUCAGCAUCAGAAACCACUCACGGAUUCGUAAAAAUGCCCAUAGAGGAGCUAGAGAAAAUGAAGGAAACCAUAGCAGAA